rnacentral:tRNA from 1 species
GUGGGUAUAGCUCAGCGGUGGAGCGCAUGCCUAGCAUGUAAGAGGUUCUGGGUUCAAUCCUCAGCACCUCCU